UACGGAGGGUGCAAGCGUUAAUCGGAAUUACUGGGCGUAAAGCGCACGCAGGCGGUCUGUCAAGUGGGAUGUGAAAUCCCCGGGCUUAACCUGGGAAUUGCAUUUGAGACUGGCAGUCUAGAGUCCUGUAGGGGGGGGUAGAAUUCCACGUGUAGCGGUGAAAUGCGUAGAGAUGUGGAGGAAUACCGAUGGCGAAGGCGGCCCCUUGGACAUAUACUGACGCUCAUGUGCGAAAGCGUGGGGAGCAAACAGG
rnacentral:rRNA from 1 species